UACGGGGGGAGCAAGCGUUGUUCGGAUUUACUGGGCGUAAAGGGCGCGUAGGCGGCCACCGCAAGUCGACUGUGAAAUCUCCGGGCUUAACCCGGAAAGGUCAGCCGAUACUGCGGGGCUAGAGUGCAGAAGGGCAACUGGAAUUCUCGGUGUAGCGGUGAAAUGCGUAGAUAUCUGGAGGAACACCGGUGGCGAAGGCGGCAUCCUGGACCGGUAUUGACGCUGAGGCGCGAAAGCUAGGGGAGCAAACGGGG
rnacentral:rRNA from 1 species